UCCCUGGUGGUUCAGUGGUUAAGAAUGCCUGCCAAUGCAGGGGAUGUGGGUUCGAUCCCUGGUCUGGGAA
rnacentral:tRNA from 1 species